UAAUGACCAAGCUUUCCUCCAAACAUCCAAUAGAUGUUGGUGUUGUCCCUCCAUAACUCGUUUACAUCGUCUACCAGGAUGGUGUUGCGGGGUUCUCAAGUUUUUGGUGAGUUUGUUAACUGCCAUUUGCGGCAGCGUGAGGGUUCUGCGGAUAGUGGGGAUUUGGCUCAAUAGGGUCACAAUUCUUUGGGACGGUUGAUUCCGCUAGCUCUUCAUUCAGUUGUAGACAUGAGACCUUAUGAGGUGGCAAGCAAUGUUGGUAAUAAUGGUGUAUAACAUGUCAAUAUGUUCAACAAGUUGCUGCAUGACAAGGCUCUGGACGAAGGAAAAAAUUCCUAGGACUGGCUCUUCGUCUAAGCAAGUCCCUCUUUAACUCCAGCAAGCUCAGCCUCCACUAUGUGAUCGUAAAGGAAAAGGCCAAACAGAGCCUAUUUCAACUCCUGCCAAGAAGGCCAAAAUCUCCACCGGUUCCCUAGCUCCUCCGGCUCCUAAGCCAUCCAUGAGCGCUGGUACUCCCCACCCAUCUGAUGUGAAAAUCAAAGGGGAGAAACUGAUUUUUGAUGAGGUCUCCUCCUUGCUGAAGGAAGGGGAUGAGGGCAGUCUGGCAGUUGAUUUUCUAAAAGGGCUCCUUUCUCCACCUGACAAAGUCUUCCUCGAGGCUUUUCCUCGUGAUCAAGCCAUGAACUCACUAGCUUCUCAUAUUAGUAAGGCUGCCCUAAUGGCCGGAGAUUUGUUUAGCUAGUUGGAACGAGGAGAACCUGCUGCUGCGGAGGCCUAGAGGAAGGUGGAGGAGGAGAGAGAAAUACGGAAAAAGGAACCCAAGCAUGAAGUCAACCUAGUUCACUUAAGGUAAGAGAUAUCAAGUCUUUAUGAACGUCUAGAGCAGGCGGUACUCAAGCUUCAAGAUUAUCCUUCUACAGAGGAGGGGAAGCAAAAAUUGGAAGAGCUAUGGUCGAGCCGAAUGGUCGAAUUCAAGAUCCAUGGAGUUUCCACGUCUCCUCUCAGAUAGCGCCUUGAGUACUAUUACCAUGGAUAUCAGACUUGUGCUUCCCAAUUCACAUAUGUCGAUUAUCUUCCUCUAACGCUCCUAUUGACUUCCUGGAUAUUCACACGGGAUUGGCCGAUGCACCUAAGCCGUACAAGGAAAUUCGUCGUGAAUUGCCAGAUACCCUACUUCAUGCUCCCAGGGAAGGUGAGGCCCCAACAAACCCCAUGGAUCAAAUGGUGGAGGAUGUCUUUCCCCUCAAAGCGGUCCCUCUUGUUGGUGAUGAUGAAACCGCUCCUCCUCAUCCUGACAAGUAAAUUAGCUUUCUGCCAUUAACAUGAACAAAUAUAUUUUUUGUUAACAUUUCCUCCCGUGAGGCUAUCGAAAUGCCCUCUUGUGGGCUCUAAAUGUUUAUUUUGGAUCCUUGAUGCCCCCUGGAUUC